rnacentral:rRNA from 1 species
AGAAUCAACGCUGGCGGCGUGCCUAACACAUGCAAGUCGCACGAGAAAGGGACUUCGGUCCUGAGUACAGUGGCGCACGGGUGAGUAACACGUGAAUAAUCUACCUCCGAGUGGGGAAUAACUGAGAGAAAUCUUAGCUAAUACCGCAUAACACUUACGAGUCAAAGCAGCAAUGCGCUUGGAGAGGAGUUCGCGGCAGAUUAGUUAGUUGGCGGGGUAAUGGCCCACCAAGACGAUGAUCUGUAUCCGGCCUGAGAGGGCGCACGGACACACUGGAACUGAAACACGGUCCAGACUCCUACGGGAGGCAGCAGUGGGGAAUUUUGCGCAAUGGGGGAAGCCCUGACGCAGCAACGCCGCGUGGAGGAUGAAAUCCCUUGGGAUGUAAACUCCUUUCGAUCGGGAAGAUAAUGACGGUACCGAGAGAAGAAGCCCCGGCUAACUUCGUGCCAGCAGCCGCGGUAA